GGAUUCUUAUCAGCAAAACAGUGAUGAAACAGCAAUCCCAUAACAGCUAGCUAGUUACCUUCUCAAGCACUUAUUAAAUGAGGCAUAAUGAUUUUGCUUAAUCCUCAAUCCUGAGAGGUGGGUGAUCCCUGUGGUGAUGAGGAAACCGAGGCUUGGGGGUUAAUGGCUCGCCUAGAUUCACACUGCUAGCCAAGGAAUGAACUGGAACUUACACCCUGGCCCUGACUGCUUUUCACAUUUUCUACACAGCCCUUUCAAGAUCCCUGCCAAUUCUAAAAUUAAAUGAUUCUAUGAUUAACUGUGUUUCAUCCUUCUGCAUCAGUUCCCAAAACAAAUUAUAUCAAGAGACAGCAAAAAUGCUUGUAAAGAAAGGAUGUCCAACAAUCUGUGUGGUUGUUUUUCUGUGUUCCUCCAAUGGUAGGGCCUCUGUUCACCAGUGCCAUCUCUUCUUUUAGCUGUAAGAAAAGCCUGGAGUGCACAAAGUUGUGCCUACCCCAGAUUGAGAAUGUUAAGGGCACUGAGGACUCAGGCACCACAGUGCUGUUGCCCCUGGUCAUCUUCUUUGGUCUUUGCCUUUUAUCUCUCCUCUUCAUUGGUUUAAUGUAUCGUUACCAACGGUGGAAGUCCAAGCUCUACUCCAUUGUUUGUGGGAAAUCGACACCUGAAAAAGAGGGGGAGCUUGAAGGAACUACUACUAAGCCCCUGGCCCCAACCCCAAGCUUCAGUCCCACUCCAGGCUUCACCCCCACCCUGGGCUUCAGUCCCAUGCCCAGUUCCACCUUCACCUCCAGCUCCACCUAUACCCCCGGUGACUGUCCCAACUUCGCGGCUCCCCGCAGAGAGGUGGCACCACCCUACCAGGGGGCUGACCCCAUCCUUGUGACAGCCCUCGCCUCCGACCCCAUCCCCACCCCCUUUCAGAAGUGGGAGGACAGCGCCCACAAGCCACAGAGCCUAGACACGGAUGACCCCGCGACGCUGUACGCCGUGGUGGAGAACGUGCCCCCGUUGCGCUGGAAGGAAUUCGUGCGGCGCCUAGGGCUGAGCGACCACGAGAUCGAUCGGCUGGAGCUGCAGAACGGGCGCUGCCUGCGGGAGGCGCAAUACAGCAUGCUGGCGGCCUGGAGGCGGCGCACGCCGCGGCGCGAGGCCACGCUGGAGCUGCUGGGACGCGUGCUCCGCGACAUGGACCUGCUGGGCUGCCUGGAGGACAUCGAGGAGGCGCUUUGCGGCCCCGCCGCCCUCCCGCCCGCGCCCGGUCUUCUCAGAUGAGGCUGCGCCCCCGCGGGCAGCUCUAAGGACCGUCCUGCGAGAUCCCCUUCCAACCCCACUUUUUUCUGGAGAGGAGGGGUCCUGGAGGGGCAAGCAGGAGCUAGCAGCCGCCUACCUGGUGCUAACCCCUCGAUGUACAUAGCUUUUCUCAGCUGCCUGCGCGCCGCCGACAGUCAGCGCUGCGCACGCGGAGAGAGGUGCGCCGUGGGCUCAAGAGCCUGAGUGGGUGGU
rnacentral:sRNA from 1 species